rnacentral:misc_RNA from 1 species
UAAUCAAGUGUUUUUAUGGCACUUUCAAAAAUCCAUAUCCACCUUGUGUGCAAUGUCAUCUCUCUGGGGGCUGCCGGUUGUCAAAAGCCGUGUGGUCACCCUUGGGAUUUAUAUCUACUCAGAACUUUAGUGAUUUUGUCUGAAACAUAUUAUGAAUACUUAAUUCAAAAUA